CCUACGGGGGGCAGCAGUGAGGAAUAUUGGUCAAUGGGCGUAAGCCUGAACCAGCCAAGUCGCGUGAGGGAUGAAGGUUCUAUGGAUCGUAAACCUCUUUUAUAAGGGAAUAAAGUGUGGGACGUGUCCUGUUUUGUAUGUACCUUAUGAAUAAGGAUCGGCUAACUCCGUGCCAGCAGCCGCGGUAAUACGGAGGAUCCGAGCGUUCUCCGGAUUUAUUGGGUUUAAAGGGUGCGUAGGCGGCCUUUUAAGUCAUCGGUGAAAGUCUGUGGCUCAACCAUAGAAUUGCCGUUGAAACUGGGAGGCUUGAGUAUGUUUGAGGCAGGCGGAAUGCGUGGUGUAGCGGUGAAAUGCUUAGAUAUCACGCAGAACCCCGAUUGCGAAGGCAGCCUGCCAAGCCAUGACUGACGCUGAUGCACGAAAGCGUGGGGAUCAAACAGGAUUAGAUACCCGGGUAGUC
rnacentral:rRNA from 1 species